rnacentral:rRNA from 1 species
CCGGAGAAUGUUAUCACGGGAGACACACGGCGGGUGCUAACGUCCGUCGUGAAGAGGGAAACAACCCAGACCGCCAGCUAAGGUCCCAAAGUCAUGGUUAAGUGGGAAACGAUGUGGGAAGGCCCAGACAGCCAGGAUGUUGGCUUAGAAGCAGCCAUCAUUUAAAGAAAGCGUAAUAGCUCACUGGUCGAGUCGGCCUGCGCGGAAGAUGUAACGGGGCUAAACCAUGCACCGAAGCUGCGGCAGCGACGCUUAUGCGUUGUUGGGUAGGGGAGCGUUCUGUAAGCCUGCGAAGGUGUGCUGUGAGGCAUGCUGGAGGUAUCAGAAGUGCGAAUGCUGACAUAAGUAACGAUAAAGCGGGUGAAAAGCCCGCUCGCCGGAAGACCAAGGGUUCCUGUCCAACGUUAAUCGGGGCAGGGUGAGUCGACCCCUAAGGCGAGGCCGAAAGGCGUAGUCGAUGGGAAACAGGUUAAUAUUCCUGUACUUGGUGUUACUGCGAAGGGGGGACGGAGAAGGCUAUGUUGGCCGGGCGACGGUUGUCCCGGUUUAAGCGUGUAGGCUGGUUUUCCAGGCAAAUCCGGAAAAUCAAGGCUGAGGCGUGAUGACGAGGCACUACGGUGCUGAAGCAACAAAUGCCCUGCUUCCAGGAAAAGCCUCUAAGCAUCAGGUAACAUCAAAUCGUACCCCAAACCGACACAGGUGGUCAGGUAGAGAAUACCAAGGCGCUUGAGAGAACUCGGGUGAAGGAACUAGGCAAAAUGGUGCCGUAACUUCGGGAGAAGGCACGCUGAUAUGUAGGUGAAGUCCCUUGCGGAUGGAGCUGAAAUCAGUCGAAGAUACCAGCUGGCUGCAACUGUUUAUUAAAAACACAGCACUGUGCAAACACGAAAGUGGACGUAUACGGUGUGACGCCUGCCCGGUGCCGGAAGGUUAAUUGAUGGGGUCAGCGCAAGCGAAGCUCUUGAUCGAAGCCCCGGUAAACGGCGGCCGUAACUAUAACGGUCCUAAGGUAGCGAAAUUCCUUGUCGGGUAAGUUCCGACCUGCACGAAUGGCGUAAUGAUGGCCAGGCUGUCUCCACCCGAGACUCAGUGAAAUUGAACUCGCUGUGAAGAUGCAGUGUACCCGCGGCAAGACGGAAAGACCCCGUGAACCUUUACUAUAGCUUGACACUGAACAUUGAGCCUUGAUGUGUAGGAUAGGUGGGAGGCUUUGAAGUGUGGACGCCAGUCUGCAUGGAGCCGGCCUUGAAAUACCACCCUUUAAUGUUUGAUGUUCUAACGUGGACCCGUGAUCCGGGUUGCGGACAGUGUCUGGUGGGUAGUUUGACUGGGGCGGUCUCCUCCUAAAGAGUAACGGAGGAGCACGAAGGUUGGCUAAUCCUGGUCGGACAUCAGGAGGUUAGUGCAAUGGCAUAAGCCAGCUUGACUGCGAGCGUGACGGCGCGAGCAGGUGCGAAAGCAGGUCAUAGUGAUCCGGUGGUUCUGAAUGGAAGGGCCAUCGCUCAACGGAUAAAAGGUACUCCGGGGAUAACAGGCUGAUACCGCCCAAGAGUUCAUAUCGACGGCGGUGUUUGGCACCUCGAUGUCGGCUCAUCACAUCCUGGGGCUGAAGUAGGUCCCAAGGGUAUGGCUGUUCGCCAUUUAAAGUGGUACGCGAGCUGGGUUUAGAACGUCGUGAGACAGUUCGGUCCCUAUCUGCCG